AUGAACGCUGGCGGCGUGCCUAAUACAUGCCAGUCGCGCGAACAGACGAGGAGCUUGCUCCUCUGACGUUAGCGGCGGACGGGUGAGUAACACGUGGAUAACCUACCUAUAAGACUGGGAUAACUUCGGGAAACCGGAGCUAAUACCGGAUAAUAUAUUGAACCGCAUGGUUCAAUAGUGAAAGACGGUUUUGCUGUCACUUAUAGAUGGAUCCGCGCCGCAUUAGCUAGUUGGUAAGGUAACGGCUUACCAAGGCAACGAUGCGUAGCCGACCUGAGAGGGUGAUCGGCCACACUGGAACUGAGACACGGUCCAGACUCCUACGGGAGGCAGCAGUAGGGAAUCUUCCGCAAUGGGCGAAAGCCUGACGGAGCAACGCCGCGUGAGUGAUGAAGGUCUUCGGAUCGUAAAACUCUGUUAUUAGGGAAGAACAAAUGUGUAAGUAACUACGCACGUCUUGACGGUACCUAAUCAGAAAGCCACGGCUAACUACGUG
rnacentral:rRNA from 1 species